rnacentral:rRNA from 1 species
GGUUAAGCGACUAAGCGUACACGGUGGAUGCCCUGGCAGUCAGAGGCGAUGAAGGGCGUGCUAAUCUGCGAUAAGCGCCGGUAAGGUGAUAUGAACCGUUAUAACCGGCGAUACCCGAAUGGGGAAACCCAGUGUGACUCGUCACACUAUCAUUAACUGAAUCCAUAGGUUAAUGAGGCGAACCGGGGGAACUGAAACAUCUAAGUACCCCGAGGAAAAGAAAUCAACCGAGAUUCCCCCAGUAGCGGCGAGCGAACGGGGAGGAGCCCAGAGCCUGAAUCAGCAUGUGUGUUAGUGGAAGCGUCUGGAAAGGCGCGCGAUACAGGGUGACAGCCCCGUACACAAAAGCGCAUGUGCUGUGAGCUCGAUGAGUAGGGCGGGACACGUGGUAUCCUGUCUGAAUAUGGGGGGACCAUCCUCCAAGGCUAAAUACUCCUGACUGACCGAUAGUGAACCAGUACCGUGAGGGAAAGGCGAAAAGAACCCCGGCGAGGGGAGUGAAAAAGAACCUGAAACCGUGUACGUACAAGCAGUGGGAGCCCCACCACUAAGCCAGUGGUGAACUCCACAUACGCAUCCUUUGCUGAGGAUACGGUUAACGGAGCGAAAGCGACGUUCAACCGCAAAAGAAGCAGAGGGGGCUUAGUGGUGGGGUGACUGCGUACCUUUUGUAUAAUGGGUCAGCGACUUAUAUUCUGUAGCAAGGUUAACCGAAUAGGGGAGCCGUAGGGAAACCGAGUCUUAACCGGGCGUUAAGUUGCAGGGUAUAGACCCGAAACCCGGUGAUCUAGCCAUGGGCAGGUUGAAGGUUGGGUAACACUAACUGGAGGACCGAACCGACUAAUGUUGAAAAAUUAGCGGAUGACCUGUGGCUGGGGGUGAAAGGCCAAUCAAACCGGGAGAUAGCUGGUUCUCCCCGAAAGCUAUUUAGGUAGCGCCUCGUGAAUUCAUCUCCGGGGGUAGAGCACUGUUUCGGCUAGGGGGCCAUCCCGGCUUACCAACCCGAUGCAAACUGCGAAUACCGGAGAAUGUUAUCACGGGAGACACACGGCGGGUGCUAACGUCCGUCGUGAAGAGGGAAACAACCCAGACCGCCAGCUAAGGUCCCAAAGUCAUGGUUAAGUGGGAAACGAUGUGGGAAGGCCCAGACAGCCAGGAUGUUGGCUUAGAAGCAGCCAUCAUUUAAAGAAAGCGUAAUAGCUCACUGGUCGAGUCGGCCUGCGCGGAAGAUGUAACGGGGCUAAACCAUGCACCGAAGCUGCGGCAGCGACACUCAGGUGUUGUUGGGUAGGGGAGCGUUCUGUAAGCCUGUGAAGGUGUGUCGUGAGGCAUGCUGGAGGUAUCAGAAGUGCGAAUGCUGACAUAAGUAACGAUAAAGCGGGUGAAAAGCCCGCUCGCCGGAAGACCAAGGGUUCCUGUCCAACGUUAAUCGGGGCAGGGUGAGUCGACCCCUAAGGCGAGGCCGAAAGGCGUAGUCGAUGGGAAACAGGUUAAUAUUCCUGUACUUGGUGUUACUGCGAAGGGGGGACGGAGAAGGCUAUGUUGGCCGGGCGACGGUUGUCCCGGUUUAAGCGUGUAGGUGUGUGUUCCAGGUAAAUCCGGUUCACUUUAACACUGAGGCGUGACGACGAGGCACUACGGUGCUGAAGCAACAAAUGCCCUGCUUCCAGGAAAAGCCUCUAAGCAUCAGGUAACAUCAAAUCGUACCCCAAACCGACACAGGUGGUCAGGUAGAGAAUACCAAGGCGCUUGAGAGAACUCGGGUGAAGGAACUAGGCAAAAUGGUGCCGUAACUUCGGGAGAAGGCACGCUGACACGUAGGUGAAGUGAUUUACUCAUGGAGCUGAAGUCAGUCGAAGAUACCAGCUGGCUGCAACUGUUUAUUAAAAACACAGCACUGUGCAAACACGAAAGUGGACGUAUACGGUGUGACGCCUGCCCGGUGCCGGAAGGUUAAUUGAUGGGGUCAGCGCAAGCGAAGCUCCUGAUCGAAGCCCCGGUAAACGGCGGCCGUAACUAUAACGGUCCUAAGGUAGCGAAAUUCCUUGUCGGGUAAGUUCCGACCUGCACGAAUGGCGUAAUGAUGGCCAGGCUGUCUCCACCCGAGACUCAGUGAAAUUGAACUCGCUGUGAAGAUGCAGUGUACCCGCGGCAAGACGGAAAGACCCCGUGAACCUUUACUAUAGCUUGACACUGAACAUUGAGCCUUGAUGUGUAGGAUAGGUGGGAGGCUUUGAAGCGUGGACGCCAGUCUGCGUGGAGCCGACCUUGAAAUACCACCCUUUAAUGUUUGAUGUUCUAACGUGGACCCGUAAUCCGGGUUGCGGACAGUGUCUGGUGGGUAGUUUGACUGGGGCGGUCUCCUCCUAAAGAGUAACGGAGGAGCACGAAGGUUGGCUAAUCCUGGUCGGACAUCAGGAGGUUAGUGCAAUGGCAUAAGCCAGCUUGACUGCGAGCGUGACGGCGCGAGCAGGUGCGAAAGCAGGUCAUAGUGAUCCGGUGGUUCUGAAUGGAAGGGCCAUCGCUCAACGGAUAAAAGGUACUCCGGGGAUAACAGGCUGAUACCGCCCAAGAGUUCAUAUCGACGGCGGUGUUUGGCACCUCGAUGUCGGCUCAUCACAUCCUGGGGCUGAAGUAGGUCCCAAGGGUAUGGCUGUUCGCCAUUUAAAGUGGUACGCGAGCUGGGUUUAGAACGUCGUGAGACAGUUCGGUCCCUAUCUGCCGUGGGCGCUGGAGAACUGAGGGGGCUGCUCCUAGUACGAGAGGACCGGAGUGGACGCAUCACUGGUGUUCGGGUUGUCAUGCCAAUGGCACUGCCCGGUAGCUAAAUGCGGAAGAGAUAAGUGCUGAAAGCAUCUAAGCACGAAACUUGCCCCGAGAUGAGUUCUCCCUGAGACUUUAGGUCUCCUGAAGGAACGUUGAAGACGACGACGUUGAUAGGCCGGGUGUGUAAGCGCAGCGAUGCGUUGAGCUAACCGGUACUAAUGAACCGUGAGGCUUAACCUU